CAGUUGGCAGUGGGGUUGGAGCUGGUGCCCCAAUUUCACUCACCUGAAGGGGUCCUUUCCUUCAGAUGAGGAAACAUCAACUGAGACUGUGUCUCAUGGUUAAGCUGUGCCCCUGUAUUGGAUACCAAAAAAGAACCACAAGGCCUAUUGGCCUCUGUAUUUUCUGCAAGCAGGAAAAAAGACAUCGAACUUAGAAGGGCAGGCAAGCAUCGGGGAAACACAUUUGGAAGGCAUCCCUAGGCCUAAGAGUUGAAGACCUAAAAACAAAACAAGGUGUCUUAACGUGAUUCAUCAAAAAUAUGUUUCCUAUUCUCAUACUCGCUGUUUUAUUGUUGCUAAUGAAACUGUCUAUAAAGGA